rnacentral:lncRNA from 1 species
UUGAUAACGCCAUACACAUCCCUAAAGCGGGUGUUCGGAUCUCUCAACAGUCAUUUCCCCGUGGAACGCCAUCCUGAAUGGUGGUUGGAGGGAGAAAAACAAGAUUGCUGGUGAUCUGGAAGGAGAAGUGGCGGAUGAGGCUUCUAAAACUUGUUAACCUUAUUGUGCCUCUUAUCAUCGAGGAUGGGAGUUACAUGGCUCAUCGGCAAAGGAAUUUGUCAACAUGAUGACCGGAUCAACACUCACUCCUAUCACUGGGGCUUCAUUUGCAAAUUCUUAUCUUUGGUGGAAUCCACAUGGCUCCGCCCACUCUAAUUUUUCUAUUUCAGGUCUAGGUUUUAACCCCCGAAUGAAGUUAUGGUGGAUGGUAAACUACCGGUAGAAAGCUCUGGCAAAAAGGAGAUCAUUCUCACGGUAAAAUAGUAGAGCUUCUUCUUCACGGUAAAAUAGUAAAAUUGUUAUCACGCAAUUAAAAAAACUAUAUAAAAGAAUUCAACCAAAGCGAAAUCCUGAAUGUUCUA